rnacentral:rRNA from 1 species
UACAGAGGGUGCAAGCGUUGUUCGGAAUUAUUGGGUUUAAAGGGUGCGUAGGCGGCCUAUUAAGUCAGGGGUGAAAGACGGUAGCUUAACUAUCGCAGUGCCUUUGAUACUGAUGGGCUUGAAUGUACUUGAGGUAGGCGGAAUGUGACAAGUAGCGGUGAAAUGCAUAGAUAUGUCACAGAACACCAAUUGCGAAGGCAGCUUACUAAAGUAUGAUUGACGCUGAGGCACGAAAGCGUGGGGAUCAAACAGG